rnacentral:rRNA from 1 species
GAUCCUGGCUCAGGAUGAACGCUAGCUACAGGCUUAACACAUGCAAGUCGAGGGGAAACGACAUCGAAAGCUUGCUUUUGAUGGGCGUCGACCGGCGCACGGGUGAGUAACGCGUACCCAACCUGCCCAUCACUUGGGAAUAACCUUGCGAAAGUAAGACUAAUGCCCAAUGAUAUCCCACGAAGGCAUCCGAAUGGGAUUAAAGAUUUAUCGGUGAUGGGUGGGGAUGCGUCUGAUUAGCUUG